GUGAGGGAAGAGGCUCGGGUCUGGUUGCAGAGGUCCGAAAUCAGAGCUGAUUCAUAGGUGGGGCUGAUUCUGUGAUUCUAAUUCUGUGGUGCAGGCAGCUCAAAGCCAGGUUACAGAAUCACAGAAUCGAUUAGGUUGGAAAAGACUUCUGAGAUCAUCAACCUGUGACAGAACAGCACCUUGUCAAGUAAAGCAUGGCACUAAGUGCCAAUCUUUCCUUAAAAACUUCAGGAAUGGAGACUCCGCUACCUCUCUGGGCAGCCCAUUCCAAUGUCUAAUCACCCUUUCUGUGAAGAAAUUCCUCCAGAUGUCCAACCUAAAACUACCCUAGUGCAGUGUAAGACUGUGUCCUCUCAUUCUGUCACUGGUUGCCUGGGAGAAGAGACCGACCCUCACCUGGGUAGAAGCUCCUUUUGGGGAGUUGUAAAGAGCGAUAAGGUCACCCCUGAGCCUUCUCUUCUCCAGGCUAAACCUGGCUUGGUCCACUCAAACCUUUAGUGGUUUCCAUCGAACAUAGCUCUACAAGUUUCCAGUGACUCCACUUCACCCUAAAAGUGAAGGACAAGUUGGCCACCUGGUCCCAGUGAAGGUGGCCACUCCAGACCACCAGCCCAGCUGGCUGGUGCUUGUCACCCUCACCCCCAGAGUCAUGGUGUGUAGUCCCACGCCAGCUCCCACCCUGGCCUGCACAGCCAGUCUGGAUGAAAGGGCACCCAGUAAAGGUGUUUCAAGUAGAUGACUUCAGGCUCAUCCAUGGCGUGUUUAUUUUACAAUAGGAUUUCCUGGGUCAGAAAACCUGCAAAACAUUUUUCCUCCAAGGAGAGACCAGGUAUACUACUCCUGCACAAUGGAGGAGACAGGAGGCAGUUUAGCAACAUGGCUAAACUGCUUUUCUUCUAAAUGAAGCUGCUGCCCACAGCCUUUGCCACGCUGUCCUGUCAGCCUGGGGAGGACUUCACUGCAGCUCUUCAGCCAGGUGCUGCAGACUCUGUGCAAUUCAGAUGGGGACCAGGGCAUCACUGUGCCAUUUUCCACACAUGGCCAGGUGGUCCAGAUGCUCCAUGCAUUUAUGAUCUACUGCUUUCAAUCAAAGUGAAGAACACCAGACAACAGAGAGCCUCGAGAGUCCUAGACUGAAGGUGCUGGACAAGCUCAAGUCCAAAGCAACAGAACAGCCAGUGAUGUUAACCACAGUGACUGGAAAAAGCAGUAGCAAGGAGAGCUUAGAAGACAGAUUAAGAGCUCUGGUGAGCCAUACUGAGCUUGAGCCGACAGCGAGACAUUCAGAGAGAAGCAGACUGAGCUUUGGGCUUGGACAGACUGGAGCAGACAGGUGGAUUUGAGUGAUCAGGGCUUUUUUAUUCCUGUGGUUUCAAAUUCUGACAAAAUGUGAAUGAGGAGAAAUUGAGAGAAAUUUCAUGGAAAUAAAUUCAUCUUCUGAAUAUUUUUAUUAGAAGUUCUUCCUUUGCCUUGAGUCUAGACAGAGGAGAUAUUUUUCAGUGCCUGGAACACGUUCCUGAAUGCAGCCAGAAAACAUGGA